rnacentral:rRNA from 1 species
UACGUAGGGGGCGAGCGUUGUCCGGAAUUAUUGGGCGUAAAGAGCGUGUAGGCGGUUCGGUAAGUCUGCCGUGAAAACCUGGGGCUCAACCCCGGGCGUGCGGUGGAUACUGCCGGGCUAGAGGGUGGUAGAGGCGAGUGGAAUUCCCGGUGUAGCGGUGGAAUGCGCAGAUAUCAGGAGGAACACCAACGGCGAAGGCAGCUCGCUGGGACGGUACUGACACUAAGGCGCGAAAGCGUGGGGAGCGAACAGG